GACGAACGCUGGCGGCGUGCUUAACACAUGCAAGUCGAACGGAAAGGCCCUGCUUUUGUGGGUUGCUCGAGUGGCGAACGGGUGUGUAACACGUGUGUAGCCUGUCCUUUACUGUGGGAUAACUUCUUGAAACUGGGGCUAAUACCGGAUAUGAGCUCUUGCUGCAUGGGGGGUGUUGGAAAGAUUCGGCGUUUGGGCAUGGACUCGCGGUAUAUCAUCUUGUUGGUGGGGUAGUGGCUUACAAAUGCUUUGACGGGUAGCCGGCCUGAGAGGGUGACCCGCCAGAAUGGGACUGAGAUACGGCCCAUACUCGUACGUGGGGAAGCGGUGACGAAUAGUGCAUAAAGCGCGGAAGCCUGAUACAGGAACGCCGCGUGGGGGAUAACGGCGUUCGGGUAAUAAAGCUCUUUCGCGUGGGACGAAGCGUGAGUGACGGUAACGGGUAAGGAAGCACCGGCUAACUACGUG
rnacentral:rRNA from 1 species